rnacentral:siRNA from 1 species
UAAGAUGAGCUCAACGAGAAC